rnacentral:pre_miRNA from 1 species
GAUUUCAACUGAAAAAGUUAUCAACAACAAAGUUGAAUAACUCAUCAAGACCUAAAACUUUUAUUUUGAUCAUUUCUUCAUCCGAUAAAGUGAUAUUAACAUUGUUCACAAAAUUGACGUAUCUCUUAUCUGGUUUUAUAAACUAUAACACAUAUAUGUAAAUUUAUGAACAAUGUUACUAAUAUUUUGUCGGAUGAAGAAAUGACAAAAAUAAAAGUUUUAGAUCUUCAUGAGUUAUAUAAUUUUGUUGUUGAUGACUUUUUCAAUUGAAAUC